ensembl:Y_RNA Y_RNA Y RNA
GGUUGGUCUGAUGGUAUUGGGUUAUCAGAACAUAUUAACAUCACUAAAGUUAGUAUACAACCAUCCAUUGCUAAAUUUGACUGGCUUAAA